rnacentral:rRNA from 1 species
GUGUUGUGUGUUAAGGGCGCACGGUGGAUGCCUUGGCAUGAUGAGCCGAUGAAGGACGUGGGAGACUGCGAUAUGCCUCGGGGAGUUGUCAACUGAGCGUUGAUCCGAGGAUGUCCGAAUGGGGAAACCCGGCCGUGGUUAUGUGCGGUCACCUGCCGGUGAAUGUAUAGCCGGUGUGGAGGUUACGCGGGGAAGUGAAACAUCUCAGUACCCGUAGGAAGAGAAAACAAUAGUGAUUCCGUGAGUAGUGGCGAACGAAAGUGGAUGAUUGGCUAAACCGGUUGCGUGUGAUACCUGUCAGGGGUUGCGUGGUCGGGGUUGUGGGGUCUUGUUCGACUGGUCUGACAGUCAGUCGCCCGGUCAUGUGUGCUAGCGGAAGUGGUUUGGAAUGGCCUGCCGUAGACGGUGAGAGUCCGGUACGUGAAAGCAUGUGUGGUUGGGUUACGAGGUGCCC